GCGCGGGUGGCGAAAUUGGUAGACGCACCAGGUUUAGGUCCUGACGGUGGCACACCGUGGGGGUUCGAGUCCCCCCCCGCGCACCA
rnacentral:tRNA from 1 species